rnacentral:ribozyme from 12 species
UACAAAAGAGAAAAAAAAAAAAAGAAAUAAAUGGGAACUUGUUGACUUGAAGUUUCUUCCCUAAUGUUUCAC